GGGAUUGCCUCAGUAACGGCGAGUGAAGCGGCAAAAGCUCAAAUUUGAAAUCUAGCACCUUCAGUGUUCGAGUUGUAAUUUGAAGAAGGUAACUUUGGUUUUGGCUCUUGUCUAUGUUCCUUGGAACAGGACGUCACAGAGGGUGAGAAUCCCGUGCGAUGAGAUGCCCAAUUCCAUGUAAAGUGCUUUCGAAGAGUCGAGUUGUUUGGGAAUGCAGCUCUAAGUGGGUGGUAAAUUCCAUCUAAAGCUAAAUAUUGGCGAGAGACCGAUAGCGAACAAGUACAGUGAUGGAAAGAUGAAAAGAACUUUGAAAAGAGAGUGAAAAAGUACGUGAAAUUGUUGAAAGGGAAGGGCUUGAGAUCAGACUUGGUAUUUUGCGUUCCCUUCCUUUUUGGUUGGGUUCCUCGCAGUUUACUGGGCCAGCAUCGGUUUGGAUGGUAGGAUAAUGACAUUGGAAUGUAGCUUUACUUCGGUGAAGUGUUAUAGACUUUGUUGAUACUGCCUAUCUAGACCGAGGACUGCGUCUUUGACUAGGAUGCUGGCGUAAUGAUCUUAAGCCGCCCGUCUUGAAACACGGACCUCCUGUGUGAAG
rnacentral:rRNA from 1 species